GAAAGGCCAAUCAAACUUCGUGAUAGCUGGUUCUCUCCGAAAUGCAUUUAGGUGCAGCGUUGCGUGUUUCUUGCCGGAGGUAGAGCUACUGGAUAGCCGAUGGGCCCUAAAAGGUUACUGACGUUAGCCAAACUCCGAAUGCCGGUAAGUGAGAGCGCAGCAGUGAGACGGUGGGGGAUAAGCUUCAUCGUCGAGAGGGAAACAACCCAGACCACCAUCUAAGGUCCCAAAGCGCGUGCUAAGUGGGAAAGGAUGUGGAGUUGCAUAGACAACCAGGAGGUUGGCUUAGAAGCAGCCACCCUUGAAAGAGUGCGUAAUAGCUCACUGGUCAAGUGAUUCCGCGCCGACAAUGUAACGGGGCUCAAGCACGCCACCGAAGUUGUGGCAUUGAUAUUUUUGGUAAGCCGCACCCUUGUGGUGUUGGUUCAGCCGUGUUGAUGGGUAGGAGAGCGUCGUGUGGCCAGCGAAGCGGCGGUGUAAACCAGCCGUGGAGGCUACACGAGUGAGAAUGCAGGCAUGAGUAGCGAAAGACGGGUGAGAAACCCGUCCUCCGAAAGAUCAAGGUUUCCAGGGCCAGGCUAAUCCGCCCUGGGUAAGUCGGGACCUAAGGCGAGGCCGACAGGCGUAGUCGAUGGACAACGGGUUUAUAUUCCCGUACUGAUGAAAAACCGUCCAAGCUAAUCCAGUAAUGCUAAGCAUCUGAAUCCUCUAGAUGGAUCCCUUCGGGGUGAAGCGUGAGGCCUAGCGUGCGACCCUAUGCUGGUGCGGUUAGCGUAUUAACAGGUGUGACGCAGGAAGGUAGCUGAGCCGGGCGAUGGUUGUCCCGGUCUAAGGAUGUAGGCCGAGAGAUAGGCAAAUCCGUCUCUCAUAUAAGGCUGAGACCCGAUGGGUAGCCCGUAAGGGUGAAAUCAGUGAUCCUAUGCUGCCAAGAAAAGCAUCGACGCGAGGUUUUAGUCACCCGUACCCCAAACCGACUCAGGUGAUCAGGUAGAGAAUACUAAGGAGAUCGAGAGAAUCGUGGUUAAGGAACUCGGCAAAAUGCCCCCGUAACUUCGGGAGAAGGGGGGCCUGAGGCGUGAAGGGAUUUACUCCUGGAGCGUUCGAAGGCCGCAGAGACCAGUGGGAAGCGACUGUUUACUAAAAACACAGGUCCGUGCCAAGUCGCAAGACGAUGUAUACGGACUGACGCCUGCCCGGUGCUGGAAGGUUAAGAGGAACGGUUAGCCGCAAGGCGAAGCUGAGAAUUUAAGCCCCAGUAAACGGCGGUGGUAACUAUAACCAUCCUAAGGUAGCGAAAUUCCUUGUCGGGUAAGUUCCGACCUGCACGAAUGGCGUAACGACUUCCCAGCUGUCUCAACCGCGAACUCGGCGAAAUUGCAUUACGAGUAAAGAUGCUCGUUACGCGCAGCAGGACGGAAAGACCCCGUGACCUUUACUACAGCUUGGUAUUGGUGUUCGGUGUGGCUUGUGUAGGAUAGGUGGGAGACUUUGAAGCUUGGACGCUAGUUCAGGUGGAGUCAUCGUUGAAAUACCACUCUGGUCAUAUUGGAUACCUAACUUCGAACCGUGAUCCGGUUCAGGGACAGUGCCUGGUGGGUAGUUUAACUGGGGCGGUUGCCUCCUAAAAAGUAACGGAGGCGCCCAAAGGUUCCCUCAACCUGGUUGGCAAUCAGGUGUCGAGUGUAAGUGCACAAGGGAGCUUGACUGUAAGACUGACAAGUCGAGCAGGGACGAAAGUCGGGACUAGUGAUCCGGCAGUGGCUUGUGGAAGCGCUGUCGCUCAACGGAUAAAAGGUACCUCGGGGAUAACAGGCUGAUCUUGCCCAAGAGUCCAUAUCGACGGCAUGGUUUGGCACCUCGAUGUCGGCUCGUCGCAUCCUGGGGCUGGAGUAGGUCCCAAGGGUUGGGCUGUUCGCCCAUUAAAGCGGUACGCGAGCUGGGUUUAGAACGUCGUGAGACAGUUCGGUCCCUAUCCGCUGCGCGCGCAGGAAAUUUGAGAAGAUCUAUCCCUAGUACGAGAGGACCGGGAUGGACGAACCUCUGGUGUGUCAGUUGUUCCGCCAGGAGCACCGCUGAUUAGCUACGUUCGGAACGGAUAACCGCUGAAAGCAUCUAAGCGGGAAGCCGGCUUCGAGAUGAGAUUUCCAUCCCUUAGGGGGAGAGGCUCGCAGCUAGACUACUGCGUUGAUAGGCCGGAUGUGGAAGAGAGGACUAAAGACUCUUGGAGCUGACCGGUACUAAUAAGCCGAUAAUUUGAUAACAC
rnacentral:rRNA from 1 species